GGGAGGCCCAAGCAGCGAGCACAUGCCAUAACCUGCUGGAGGGGCAGGUCCUGGCUCCACACUUCACACGUGAGAUAAAAUGUAAGCUCAUACCAACCUCUGAGCACAAGCAAACGGAUGCAGCGCAUCAGCCAGGUGGGUACUCCUAUACUAAUUACUGUGUUUGCGUAUCAGCUUAUGUUCUUUGUGUCACACUAUAAGAACUUAGGAAAUGUGUGCCACUGUGGUUGGAGGUGGUUGUCUCUCAGCGAAGAUGUGAGAACCCUAUGGGCAUGUAUGGCAAAUGCAAAAUGAAAUGGGUUAGUUCCUUUCACGUCUGAAAGUCAUCUUGCUUUGCAGUUCAAGAGACUGAGAGCUUACAUGCGGCCAGUGACUCUGUCCCAGCUAAAAUAUACUUCUCUGCUGAGAAGUGGUAACAUUUCCAGCCAUUCUAAUGUGGUUAUAAGGAUAAGUCUGGUCAUGCCCUCAUAUGUCUCUCUUUGCUUUAUCUGGUUAAGGCAGUGCCCCUUUCAGAAUGAAGGCAAGCAAUGUGACAUUUCAGGUACUACAGCAAUCUUAAUUGCAAGUCAUUCUAGUAGCGGAGGUGACUAAUGUAAUAAAUACGCACACAUGCAUCGAUACAGACAGCACUCAUUGCAAAAAUGACUGCCAGUCAUUUCUCUAACCAGAAUGUACUAUGAUGUGUACUCUGCUGUUGAAGUUUUAGUGGUGCUUCUGAAUGCCAUACAGCUGGGCCCCACUCUUAAAAAUAGCAGCGAGAUAUGAAUAAGUGCUGUUUGGUUCAGCAGGAAAGAAGAAAACAUCACCUCAGUAGGAACAGAUGAGUCUGGUUAGGUUUUAUGUCUCUUGCUGAAAAACUGCAAAGGAAUAGCUGUAUUUCACAGUGAAAAUUGCAUUUAAUUGAAAGCAAAACAUUCAAGCACCCAAAAGAGAAGUGAGAAGAAGGGAUCCCACUCACAGGGGGAUAGUGGAGCUGAGAGGCUGUCCCUCUAGUCUGGUGGCCAACGGGGCACAGUCCUGUGAGGUUCUGGGGAAGGAGUGGGCUCAAUGAGUGAAAGAUGCUAACACGACCCAGACACUCUGCAACAUUAAACACUUAAAAAGGUUUGGGGUUUUGAAUACAGAGACCUCAGCCUACUUGGUUACCAUGGCAAACAAUCACCAAUAGAAGUCUUUUAAUCUUUAAUUAAAGAUACACAAAAAAGGAGAAAAAACAGUUUAAGCACUUGAAAAAUAAGACUUUAUGCUUUAAAAGUGUCCAUUAUCCCUCUUCCCUUAGCUGUCAACAGUUUUUGUAGCAGUGCUUCCCUCCCUUUAUUUAAGGUCAUAGCAGCACUCACUGUUUUUUGGGAGACACUCAUUGAGAUAGACUGGAUCUGCUGUUAGUACUCAUUUUGGGAUUCUGCUUUGCUCAUUUGAAGACACAGGCAUGCAGGAGGGGAGAGGAAAGGAGAGCAAAGACAAAAAUUAUUACUUCCUCUUCAGGUGUUGACUUUUACUUGCAGCCUCACUGCUAGAAAAAGACAAGCACAACACAUGGACUUAUCAGCCCCUCUCUGAUCAAGGGGAUUUAUAUCAGCGUCUGUCUCAUUUAGACAUUGCUUUUGGUUGUCUCCUUGAUUGCAGUUCACAGCUGUGUUGUACAACCCGUACCCUCCUAUCUAGGAUAGUUUGAUUAAAAGGAAGGUAAAAGAAAGAAAAGGCAGAGAAGCAUGUGAAAAGACUGCAAAGCUACUGAGAGAAGGGUGGCUUCAGGACCCCAAGUCUUCCCUUCCAAGUGGGUUUCCAGGACUGCACUGAAAUUGGUGGACAUAGCGAUGACUCCCAUGUAUCUCCUCACCAGAAACUCACCAGAAGGUCUGACCAGAUCAAGUAAGUGUAGAAUCAUAGAAUCACAAAGGUUGAAAAACACCCACAGGAUCAUCCAGUCCAACCAUUCACCUGUCACCAGUGGUUCUCACUAAACCAUGUCCUUCAACACAACGUCCAAAUGUUCCUUGAAAUACCAACAGUGUCACAGCAGAGACUUAGAUCUCGAAGUUGACAACGACAGCUGUCAGCAUGUCUCCUUUCUGUCCACCUAUUCUAGGAUCAGUAUCAAAAUGGAUGUACCCCAGAGGAUGAUGUACAUGCCACCAGUCACCAGUUGGCUUUAGCUCCUGGCACAUGAGUUUUGGUCCAUUGAUUUUGGCAUUUAUCUUGUACAUCAGGCCUGAUGUCAGCACAGUCCUUGGUUAAUAUUAGGAAGACUUUCUGAUUGAACUAAUUUGGUCUUCCCAUCUUUAACUUGUGCUGACUUCUCCAAGUAAUUUUCUCCAGCAGACUGAGCUGCACUUUCUCACCUCUGUGAACUUUAGCACAUGCGUUUGCCUGAUGUGCUUGCGUAGGAUGUUCAAUGCCCUCUUCUGCUUCCCUGUCUACCCUUCUUCUUUUCCAGGAGAAUACCACAGUCACAAGAGCAGGGGUACCCUGGGAGAGGCUCUGCCAAUGGCACUUUCAUAUUCCUUAGUAGCGCAAUACUCAUUAGCACAGACUGGGGAAGCCAGGUGAAUUGUGUCCAUGAGUGUCUCUACUGGGGUCUGGAAAGAGGACACAUAAGUGGUGAGGAGUAAGAACAACCCACCUUAGUAUGCAGCACAGCACAACCUUAUGGCAUUCUCUUGGGAGAUAAGUGAUGCUGGUUCUAGUUCCCCCAGGCAGAGGAGGAAAUUAAACCCAGGACUCCCACAUCCUUUAUGAGCGAAUAAAAAGUGGCUGUCUUCCUCUCAGCUUUGUGAAUAUAAUCGUGAUAUUUUCUUCCGGGGAAUCAAUUUGGUAAGUCCACGCUGAAUUCAACAAUCAUUUUGGGACAAUGGAAAAAAAAAAGCAAACAUUUUUCAAUGAGAAGGAUGCUGGCUAAAAAAACAUUCUAUUGACUGUAGUGGCAGUACAACAACCAGACAGACCCCAUCACUCUGCCACUUUAUAUCCAGCAGCUGUAGGACAGGAAACUCUCAUACUUGCAGACAGCGGAGGAACUUACCUGGCAAUGUGAAAUCUUGCUAGGAAAAAAGGGUUGUGCGGGAGUAAUGAAAUCCUCUGGGAAUGGCAGAUGAAACCUGAACACCGGUGGGACUGCCUUGAGUUCUGACACAAUUACCACAGUGCAUAAGAAAAACCUGCAAAGAACAGGCUCACUCCGAGGGCUGAGAUGUGACCAGUGUCCCAGUUAUUAUUAGCUACUAAAGGUCUGAAAAGGUUCAAACUCCAUCUUUGUAGGAAUUCAAACAGAGGGAUGCAUGAGGCCUUGCUGACGGCUUCCAGACUGAAAAAGAAAGCGGAGGGAAAAGGGGCAUUUCUCUGACCUUCCUCGGUGAUUGCUCAGAACUGUGUCUACUGAUGGCCGUGUCCAACACCGACAAGAAGAGGCAAGAGAAGUCAAAAUCUGAGGAGUGAGAUGUUCUGCUAGCACAGAAAAGCCACCUGGAGAAACAAAAACAAAUGUCACACAGCUGCGAGUGGGAGAAAUGCUAUUGUUUUCCUGGUAGCCCGUCCUUCCAGUCUUCUGAGAGAAGCGGGGGAAGGAGGAUUUGACCCUCACUGAGUGAAGGAGUUGCUGAUUUAGUCAAGUCAAGAACAGGAUGCGACGUUUUGGUCUAGUGCAUUGACAUUUGCAUCUCUGAGUGAGAAUGCUUAUUUUCAUUGGAGGAACAGCAAGACUGCCUUUUGAAACAUUUAAAGUUCCUGUUCCCUGCCUCCGUCCAUUCAUGCAAGAGGAACUUCAGCAGAGGAAAGUGGCGCCUGAACCCCCAGUCCCAGGAAAGUCUGUAACACUGGGAAUACUAUUAUAAAAUCAUAGAACUGUUUGAGUUGGAAUGGACCCUUAAACGUCAUCUCGUUCAACUCCCCUGCAAUGAACAGGGACACCUACAGCUACAUCAGGUUGCUCAGAGCCUGGCUCUAGCUCCUUCAGGAAUGACUUUGGAGAUGUCCUUCACUGCUUGUGUUUCACAAGAGCUUGGGCCUGGCUUGAGUUAGUCCUGAGGCCACGACACUGCACAGGGAGCCCACACUGCCAGCCCAUUGGGCUCACCCUCUGUCCCACCUCUGCACUGCUAAAAAAGAGGAUGCAUGGAUAGGAAUGGGGAGAGAAAGUUAUGGGCAUUGUGACUGUAGAUCCACCUUUGUGAAAGUCUGUGCUUUAUCUCUGUGAUUCACUUACUUCUUAAAAGACAUGAAAAGAAUGGAAUUAAGAUGGCAAAUGCAAUUGUCUGUCCUGCUAAAAGCAUUGCAAGCAAAAGCAGCUUUCAGAAAAGGCAGUGACAGAACGACCUGGCUGCGAUGUGCUGGGUUUGGCUGGGGCACGGAGCACCCUACAAAUCCCCACGGGAAGAAAUGGCCUCUGCCGGGAGUGAAGUAAUCCAGGGGAGCGGCCUGGUAACAGCCGACAGCCUCCCUCAGCCUUCUGGGGACUCCCAGAACCUUCCUAAGCUUUCUAGGGCCUUCUGAGGCUGUGAGGAGAUGCGGGUCACCAGGCCAUCAGGCCCUGCCUGCGCUGAGAGCAUCACGCUCAGACACAGAGCAGCCAAGCCGACCCCACACCCGUGGUGUCCCCCACAACAAGGCCGCUCGUCCCGCAGCCCUCCGCCAUUUCCCCACUGCCUCCCUGGGGGAGGCCCGCGCUGCGCGGGGGCAGGGGGUGCCCAGCUGCCUGCUCGCACCUGCCGCUGCUCGCAACUGCAAUUAGUUGCACCUGGUCGAAGCCAAAUUGAGGCCCCUUUCAAGCCGUAACUCUGCGCAUUCUGUUUCCAAAGGGAAGUUCAUCUUUUAUGUGCAUGCAAAAUGGAUAACACCCAAGGAACUUUUUUUUUUCUUUUUUUUCUUUUUUUUUUUUUUCUUUUCCCCUUCUGCCAGUCAGGCGAGGAUUUGUUUAAAAAAGCACUGCUGCGGCGGUGAGGUUUUAGCAAUCCUUCUGGUUGGGCUUGGGAAAUGUUGGCUUGUCAAAGAGCGGGCUCAGCGUGUGUGGCCUGCUCCUGGCGAGGGGUGCUCCCGGAGUGGAUGUCUCACGUCACAUUGGAAGCAUUACAUUGCCGUCGCAGCUCUCUUAGGCACUCUGCUCCCCCACACCGUUCCCUUCUCCUGCAGCCUCUGCCUCGGGCUCUUUUCCUCCUCCCUCACUCCUCCUCGUUGUUUUUCCUGCGCCCGCAUCCACAUUCACCCAUCUGCAAAUCCCCUUUCCUUGGGAUGGCGGUGCGUGGUGGUCCCCGGUUCUGCUGAAUCAGUUCUUCCAAAGGCAGGGCUCCCGUCCCUGUGAUUGACAGAAGGUGCUGAUUCAGUAGUGCGUGGGGGAUCCGGCAGCAACCGCAUUAAGAGGAUUUACAAAAAAGAUAAGGCGCAGCGCUGAGCUUCCCUCGGUAAUCGUACAGCACACAAUUCGGGACUGCGCUGGGAAUUUCGGCGCGGCUGACAGGUACACAGUGCUGAUCCAAUUGUCCUUACAUCCGUUAUUAGCCAAAAUAAGGGGCAACUGGAAUUACAAAUGAUUUCUGGGUAAACGCUUAGCUCUGAUUCUGAAUGAUCUCUCGGCAAUAAUCCACACGUAAUCCUCAAUACAGAGAGUCUGCUCUAAAGGGAGCUCCGUGUUGAGGAGGCCUCAAUAAUGCAUGGAUGCCCUGAUUCGCAAAAUAAAGGAGGAGAGGGGAAAAUAAGAAAGCCGUGUUUGUUUUCUAGCCUUUUUUCUGGGUUGAAUAAAAUUUAGGGAAGUACGUGAUCACAUACGUACCAUUUAUUAAGAGAAGAUUACCUGCUUGGUAAUUAUUUCUUUGGGAGAAUAAUUUAACACCUCAGUGACCGUGUGUGACUGUCCCAGGCAGGUCUGAUGUAUCUCAAAAAUAAACAAAUGAGCAAAAAUCCUCUGUAAUGAAUUGGUUUGUGAUGUUUAUCCCUCAAAAAACUAUAUAUAUAUUCUUUUUCUUUCAUGGUAGAGAGUCAGAAACUGUGUAGCUGUGAGGCCUUGAUUGGAGGGAGCAAGUCCACUGAAGGUUAGUGCCUUCUCUCUUUUCCUCCGUACGUGCUACUGAGAAAUAUCACCUGGCACAGUGACACUCACCAUGGCCCAUCAUCAGAGAGCCCCGCUGUCCUUGGUGUGUUGGUCACCCUCACUGCCACCUCAUGAGGAGAGGUGGGAAGGCAUGCUACUUGCAGAGCACAAGUUCCCAGAGAGGAGCAGGUGUCUCUUCACUGUUUCUGGAUCUUUGUCGCUUGGAGGGCUGCUGAGUACAAGGGGUAGGAGGGCUGCAGGCAGGGCUCAGGUCAUAUGUAUGCAUAUGUAUGAAAUGAGUAUCACAGGGCUCCAGUUUAUGCUGGAAUGAGACCAGAAUCAGAAUCCGAGAGAGACAGGAACUCCAAAGCCAUCUACUUGUCUUGGUUGUCUUGUGGGGGCAUAAGACUCAGGGCCAGGUUUUCAGAAGGUCUAAUUCCUCUAAGUACCCACUUGAUCAUUCCCGCUUUGCUAUUUAUCUCCUUUUAAGUGUGCUCUUCCUACAACAACUUGACUGCUGGAGAGUGGGCACAGAAGAGUUUGAGUCUACAGCAAUUACUUGUGUGAGUAAUCCCUGAGUAAUUCCGAGAGGAUUUACCUGUCUGACUAAGGGCCCUCAGAAUAUCACCAAACCCUUCGAUAUAUACUCUGAAAACAUAUUUGGCCCAUUGCUUCCUCAAGGACUUUCAAGGGCACAAGAGGAGGUUUACCUUAAUUAACAUCCCUUCAACAUUGUAGACAAUGGGCUCAUCUCUUGGCUAUACAACAGAGGAAUGUUGGAAACAAUAUCUGUUCAUCGUGAAAUCAUGUUCUCCCAGCUACCUGCUACAGAGGUGAAAGCAGGCACUGUCAAAUACCACUGAAGAAAUUUAAUCUUUCCUUGCUAGCAAAUUCUGAAAAGGCAAAUAACAUUUUCAUAGUUUGUUUACUCAUUUGUUCCUUAAAAGAGGCAAAGGAAUCUGUGAAUCAGAAGAAUUUCCAUCUCAAAAAUUGCUUUGGCAACCAGUGGCUUGUAAUUUAAGAUUAAGUGAUUGAAUUUCAUGCAGCCUUGCUUAAAAUUCACUACUCCACACGCUGUCACCACACAUUUUUAAAAAAAAAUCUAACAAGAAACCCCAAACAUCUAUAACGUUACUACAAGUCAGUCAAAAAAUGUCCAAUCAUCUGGGAGGUGACAAAACGUGCUUAAUGAAGAUGUAGUCUGCAUGACUGCUGGAUUUUUCCCCUUGUAGCGUUCACAGCCUAUCAGAGAGUUCCCAUUCCCAUGCAGUGCUGGUGCCGGGCUCACUUCAAUCAGGCUGCACAAAUCAGUGGAGCAGAAAUGCCUCUUUCCCUCCAUCACCUGAAGCCAAUGCUGAUUCAUCCGUUCAGACCCAUUCCUUCUGCCACUCCUCUGAGUUUACUGAUUGCUGAUUCAUUUUUCCCCCUCCUUUUUUUCCCCCACCUCGUACUAAGCAUCCCGUGUUGAGUGCAACACACUUCGUUUCCAGGUCUGACUGAAAGGGAAUAUGGAAAUUAAUUGGCUCAGACUGCUAGCAGCCUUUUGCACGUGCCUGUACUCCGUGAGAGGUGCAGUGCAAUUGCCUUUCCACUGUAGCUCCUUAUCAGCCACCUGUCUCCUUGCGUGUGUUUCCUUGGCUGCUCUCAGUCUGGGUGCUGGAGAUGGAUGUCCCCUUCCUCUCCCUGUUCUGCAAAAGGGAGGGCAGCUGGCAGGGCUGUCCUUGUGAGGGCUGAAGCUGUCCUCGUUUGACUUAAAAUAGGACAGAUUUAGUGAAUUCUCCAGCUUGUGGUAAAUAGCGUGUGACUGGUGCUUUGGUGAGGGCUGCAGAGAUGCUGUACAGCACAGUGGAACUUCUGCUGAAAUGUUUAUUUGUUGUCUCUGCUGGACGCAGGUCCUGGCUGAAAGAAAGCAGCUGAGGUAUGUCCCUUGGCCAUGAGAGGAGGGUACCAGGAUCCUUGCAAGUUGGAAUAUAAUCUGGCUCUGCAGCUACGCUCCAUCUCAAACAUUUUCAUGCCUAGGUUUCUAUCUUCCAUUGGUUUCAUACUGAAUUUUCUCAUGGAGCUUCCUCCCGACUGCAGAGAAUUUGGGUUUCCCCUGUGAAGUCUCCCUGUGUCUUUGAUGCUGGAGUGCUGUUGCUAGCAUUGCAGAAGUCCCACUGUCCCAUGCAGAGCACUGUACAGGUAUUUUUUUGAGGAGCUGCCCCACAUUCCUGUGGAGCUUUUCCAUCUCUGUGAAAAAAAGCUGGGGAGAAGGGAGGCCUUAUCUCCAUGCUGUGCAUGGGUGAGGUCCGAAAAAGGGCUAGGCGGGACAGAGAGGCCAGGAGCACAUAUAUAGGAGGGGACAGGAGUGGAGGCCCACAGCUUGGAGACACACAACCGCCGGAAGGCUCUGGGAGUGCCCCAGCACUUGCUAGGGGGCAACGGGCUCCUUUGAAGAGUGAGUGGUGCAAGACCCAGCCUGACUCAGUCACCCUUGGCAUCAUCCCUUGCAUCCUCAUUUCUGCAGGCUGAUGGUGUGUGCCCUGCUAGGGCCCUGGGCUUCUACUCAUUCAUGUUUGUAGGAACCCGGAGGAUGACUCAGAUUAUUACAGCACUGUAGAUCUGAUGCUGUCUGUGAUGUCUCUGGCAUGAUGCCCAUCUUUCCCUUCUGUGUUUGAACAAUCUCUUGCUCAAGGAGCCCUGGCCUGAUAGAAGGACUACCUCCUAUUAUUAACACAGUAGCAAGAAAUGAAAGGGCAGGCACAUUUGUAUGUGGUAUAAUUUAUGCAGAAGACAUGAUCUCAGGCACAGUGGAUGACAAAACCAAACGAGAAACUUUUCUUCUAGUUUUAUCACAGUUUCUCCCAGAACCUCUGCUGUAUGCGUUCUGGAAAUUUACAGGAUGAAGGAUUUUGUCAUGAUAUCUAGUUCUAAUCUGAAGUGAUUUACUGUUAAGUUGAAAAUCAAGCCUGUACGUAUCCCCCUCCAAGUGGUUUCUAUGACAGUUUCUAUUAACCAUAAAAAUGUCACUUGCUAGGAAGUAUCAGCCUUCUUGUAGGCUUUGCAAUCAUUGCUACCAGAUGCACACUUACUGAAUGGAAUAAAUAUUCUUGUACAAUUAGCCUGGCAUGCAGGACAUGUCUGGCUAUCUCUCUUGCCUCCAAAGUGAAGUUUUCAAAAGCAAACCCGUAUAUCAAGAGAUGAGAUCUAUCUGGAUUUUCUGAAGUUCUUCAGAUCUUGCAGUGUUAUGAUGCUUUAUGGAUAAAGCACGGUGGUGUGUAAACUUAGGCUAAGUUUUCUUCAUUUUAAUCUGUAUAAGCAACUGAAAUAUUCAUUUUUCAUUGUUUUGAUCAAGUGGAAAAAAAUAUUUGAUGUCUGUUCUGUGAUUUAAAAUGUAUUUUGAAAUACA
ensembl:lncRNA